rnacentral:rRNA from 1 species
UACAGAGGGUGCGAGCGUUAAUCGGAAUUAUUGGGCGUAAAGAGCUCGUAGGCGGUUUGUCGCGUCUGCCGUGAAAGUCCGGGGCUCAACUCCGGAUCUGCGGUGGGUACGGGCAGACUAGAGUGAUGUAGGGGAGACUGGAAUUCCUGGUGUAGCGGUGAAAUGCGCAGAUAUCGGGAGGAACACCAAUGGCGAAGGCAGCUCGCUGGGACGUUACUGACGCUGAGACGCGAAAGCGUGGGGAGCGAACAGG